AGCUGCUGGUAUUUAGUGAAUCUUUUCCAGUUUCGUUCAUCAGCAAGCAAUGAGUGAGUGUGUCUACCAUGUCCACCUGCCAUGCGGGACUCUGGCGUUAGAGCUGGGAGCAUAUCUCUCCCUCUCUUUUAGGAUGCCAUUGUGGAGAAGGAGAUGCAUGUGGACAGAGAAUGGCUCUGGAGCUGUGGAGCCUGGUGCAGGAUCUGACUCAGAGACACUCCAUAAACCUUUCUCAAAGAAUAUAUGAAUGCGGCGUGAAAGUGAAGCUGCUGUUUCUGCAGCACAAGGCUGUGGUGAGGAGUCCAUGAAGAGGGGCCCACCAGGCCUCAGGGGCCACUCAUGCCAGGAAGGGGCAGUCAUCCUAGGAGGAGUGGUGCUAUCAGAAGCUACCUCAGGAGAAGAAGCUGAGGCAGGCUGUCCCUGGAGGGCAAGGUCCAGUGCCGGAGACACAAGGUUCAUCAGGGACUUUGCACUUGCCAGACAAGCACUGUGCCGCUAAGCUACAUCCUUGGCCCUUCAUCCAGGUUUGAGGGGGCUCAGAGUUUGGUUUCUUUCCUGAGGGUAAGGGACCCUUGAUGGGUCAUUAAGGAGCCAGAUGGGCUGUGUGGGCGUGUGGGUAUGUGUGUGGGAGUGAGAAAUAGGAAGGAGGAGCCCAGGGAGGGGGUCACUUUCCUGUGCUACUGAGUAGGUAAGGUACUGGCUGGGGCUGACAGGACAGCUGUGGACUGUGGUGCAGUCUGCACACUGCACAAGGAUGCUGCUGUGGGCUGGGAUCCCCAAAGACCACCUGGAUGCCUUUUCCUUUCCCCUGUUCCUCCCGCUCUACCCUCCUUGCCUACUUAGCACUUUGGAUAGAGGGGCUGCCUUCCCUCCCACUUUGUCUCAGAGUGUGGGCUCCUUAGAACAGGAUGAUGCACCCCAAGGCACAUGGCAGGUGGGAUUCAUGUCACAGGAAUGAAAUUACCUGGGAGCGGUGAAGCCCCGCUGAGGGCCCCUAAAUCCUUAAAGCAGUCAGGCGUACACAGCGCACAGGUGCACACGUCCAUACAUGCACAUGUGAGGAACACUGACCUCAGUCCCCUUCCUGGCCCAGGUCCGAAGUAACAGGCCUCUCCCUGUCCACUGCCCUGUGACCUGCAGGAGCCCCAGGGGUGAACAUU
rnacentral:lncRNA from 1 species